rnacentral:rRNA from 1 species
AUUGAACGCUGGCGGCAAUACUAACACAUGCAAGUCUUACGAGAGGCGGACGGGUGAGUAAUGUCUGGGAAACUGCCUGCUGUAAGGGGAUGACUACUGGAAACGGUAGCUAAUACUGCAUACCAUCAGAUGUGCCCAGAUGGGAUUCGCUGGUUGGGGGUGUAACUGCGCACCAAGGCGACGAUCCCUAGCUGGUCUGAGAGGAUGACCAGCCAAACUGGGACUGAGACACGGUCCAGACUCCGACGGGAGGCAGCAGUGGGGAAUAUUGCACAAUGGGCGAAAGUCUGAUGCAGCCACGCCGCGUGGAUGAAGAAGGCCUUCGGGUUGUAAAGUACUGUCAGCGGGGAGGCGUUACCCGCAGAAGAAGCACCGGCUAACUCCGUGCCAGCCGCCGCGGUAAUAC